UACGGAGGGUGCAAACGUUGCUCGGAAUCAUUGGGCGUAAAGCGCACGUAGGCGGCCUGUUAAGUCGGAUGUGAAAGCCCCGGGCUCAACCCGGGAAGUGCAUACGGUCGGACUGGAGGCCAGUAGGGGGAUGCGGAAUUCCGGGUGUAGUGGUGGAAUGCGUAGAGAUCCGGAGGAACACCAGCGGCGAAGGCGGCAUCCGUGGACUGGUCCUGACACUCAUGAGCGAAAGCGUGGGGAGCGAGUCGG
rnacentral:rRNA from 1 species